UUUGAUGUUUUUUGACAAUUCGAGGAACACCAGUCAUGUAUUUGACAGAACAUUCCUCAGUUUGGAUUUGUUUGAUGUUUUUUGUAAGAUUAGACUGGAGUUGUGACUUUGAGGAAGGAAACGACAGAAAUAAGUACCUUUCUCAUCACAUCUUAUCAACUAAAUGUGCAGUCAGCAUCACGCAUCACUAUUAAUGUAAGCCUCCAUUUCCUAGGAAGUGAUUGACAGGUUUCCAAGGUGUCAAGUUGCUCUCUCCCACCUCCACCCAAUCAUCCUGCACUCCUUGGAAGGAAGUUUGAGCACUGUAUGUGGAACGCCAGAUAUAGUGAGGAGUUGUGCUGCAUUUUCCUGAGAAUGGAAUAUCUAUAUAAAUUAUUUGGAAUUCUUCUACAUCUAAGAUUUGUAAAAGAGAAAGAGACGCAGAAAUCUACAAUUGAAGAAAAGGAAAAGCAGAAAAACAAAGACAAGGAGGAAGACAUAGAAUGUUGAGAGCUGCUUUUGGAGCUGGGUGCAAGGCAGGGGAAAGGGGCUGGAGAUUGAGUUAUUAAUCAAGCAUACCAAUGUGAUGAAGUCUCCAUAAUAUCUCUAAAAAUGGAUUUUGGAACCUUCUGAGUUGGUGAACACAUCCACAUUCCAAAAAGGUGGUGCACCCUAACUCUAUCAGGACAGAACCUCUGUGCUUGGGAACCUACCCACCCUCCCUGCUUUGUACCUCUUUGUGUGGCUUUCAUCUGUAUCCUUUGUA